AGCAUUUCAUGAAUAAGACGUACCUCCGCAGUUAGUAGUGACCGUCCUGUUUUUGAUUCCGCGAGUUCUGUAUUUCCGUAAACGCUGACCUGCACCAUGAAGGUGUGAGGCGGCAGAUUAAAUGAUUGAUUUCAGGAAGUUUAAGUAUGUCUACUACUACCGGUACUGUUAAGUUCUUCAACGAAGCAAAAGGCUUCGGCUUUAUCACUCGUGAAGGCGGCCCGGACGUAUUCGUUCACUACAGCGCUAUUCAGGGAAGCGGUUUCAAGACUCUGGCCGAAGGUCAGCAAGUCGAGUUCACCGUUACCCAGGGCCAGAAAGGUCCUCAGGCGGAAAACGUUGUUGCUCUUUAAUCCCUGAUGGAUUAAGCGAUAACCGCCAAAAAGGCAGCUUCGGCUGCCUUUUUUUA
rnacentral:sRNA from 1 species